rnacentral:rRNA from 1 species
AACGAACGCUGGCGGCAGGCUUAACACAUGCAAGUCGAACGCCCCGCAAGGGGAGUGGCAGACGGGUGAGUAACGCGUGGGAAUCUACCCAUCUCUACGGAAUAACUCAGGGAAACUUGUGCUAAUACCGUAUACGCCCUUUGGGGGAAAGAUUUAUCGGAGAUGGAUGAGCCCGCGUUGGAUUAGCUAGUUGGGGGGGGAAAGGCCUACCAAGGCGACGAUCCAUAGCUGGUCUGAGAGGAUGAUCAGCCACAUUGGGACUGAGACACGGCCCAAACUCCUACGGGAGGCAGCAGUGGGGAAUAUUGGACAAUGGGCGCAAGCCUGAUCCAGCCAUGCCGCGUGAGGGAUGAAGGCCCUAGGGUUGUAAAGCUCUUUCACCGAUGAAGAUAAUGACUGUAGUCGGAGAAGAAGCCCCGGCUAACUUCGUGCCAGCCGCCGCAGUAAAAC